rnacentral:rRNA from 2 species
UCGAACGGUAACAGGAAGCAGCUUGCUGCUUUGCUGACGAGUGGCGGACNGNUGAGUAAUGUCUGGGAAACUGCCCGAUGGAGGGGGAUAACUACUGGAAACGGUAGCUAAUACCGCAUAACGUCGCAAGACCAAAGAGGGGGACCUUCGGGCCUCUUGCCAUCGGAUGUGCCCAGAUGGGAUUAGCUAGUAGGUGGGGUAACGGCUCACCUAGGCGACGAUCCCUAGCUGGUCUGAGAGGAUGACCAGCCACACUGGAACUGAGACACGGUCCAGACUCCUACGGGAGGCAGCAGUGGGGAAUAUUGCACAAUGGGCGCAAGCCUGAUGCAGCCAUGCCGCGUGUAUGAAGAAGGCCUUCGGGUUGUAAAGUACUUUCAGCGGGGAGGAAGGGAGUAAAGUUAAUACCUUUGCUCAUUGACGUUACCCGCAGAAGAAGCACCGGCUAACUCCGUGCCAGCAGCCGCGGUUAAUACGGAGGGUGCAAGCGUUAAUCGGAAUUACUGGGCGUAAAGCGCACGCAGGCGGUUUGUUAAGUCAGAUGUGAAAUCCCCGGGCUCAACCUGGGAACUGCAUCUGAUACUGGCAAGCUUGAGUCUCGUAGAGGGGGGUAGAAUUCCAGGUGUAGCGGUGAAAUGCGUAGAGAUCUGGAGGAAUACCGGUGGCGAAGGCGGCCCCCUGGACGAAGACUGACGCUCAGGUGCGAAAGCGUGGGGAGCAAACAGGAUUAGAUACCCUGGUAGUCCACGCCGUAAACGAUGUCGACUUGGAGGUUGUGCCCUUGAGGCGUGGCUUCCGGAGCUAACGCGUUAAGUCGACCGCCUGGGGAGUACGGCCGCAAGGUUAAAACUCAAAUGAAUUGACNGGGGGCCCGCACAAGCGGUGGAGCANUGUGGNUUUAAUUUCGAUGCAACGCGAAGAACCUUACCUGGUCUUGACAUCCACGGAAAGUUUUCAGAGAUGAGAAUGUGCCUUUCGGGAACCGUGAGACAGGUAAAAACAUGGCUGUCGUCAGCUCGUGUUGUGAAAUGUUGGGUUAAGUCCCGCAACGAGCGCAACCCUUAUCCUUUGUUGCCAGCGGUCCGGCCGGGAACUCAAAGGAGACUGCCAGUGAUAAACUGGAGGAAGGUGGGGAUGACGUCAAGUCAUCAUGGCCCUUACGACCAGGGCUACACACGUGCUACAAUGGCGCAUACAAAGAGAAGCGACCUCGCGAGAGCAAGCGGACCUCAUAAAGUGCGUCGUAGUCCGGAUUGGAGUCUGCAACUCGACUCCAUGAAGUCGGAAUCGCUAGUAAUCGUGGAUCUNUANANGGGCGGUGAAUACGUUCCCGGGCCUUGUACACACCCCCUUUNAGGGGNCAUGGGAGUGGGUUGCAAAAGAAGUAGGUAGCUUAACCUUCGGGAGGGCGCUACC